rnacentral:rRNA from 1 species
CAGUAGCCGCGGUAAUACGAAGGGUGCAAGCGUUAAUCGGAAUUACUGGGCGUAAAGCGUGCGUAGGCGGUUUGUUAAGUCUGUUGUGAAAUCCCCGGGCUCAACCUGGGAAUGGCAAUGGAUACUGGCAAGCUAGAGUGUGUCAGAGGAUGGUGGAAUUCCCGGUGUAGCGGUGAAAUGCGUAGAGAUCGGGAGGAACAUCAGUGGCGAAGGCGGCCAUCUGGGACAACACUGACGCUGAGGCACGAAAGCGUGGGGAGCAAACAGGAUUAGAGACCCCUGUAGUCCCUGUCUCUUAUAC